UACGGAGGGGGCUAGCGUUGUUCGGAAUUACUGGGCGUAAAGCGCACGUAGGCGGCUUUGUAAGUUAGAGGUGAAAGCCCAGGGCUUAACCCUGGAAUUGCCUUUAAGACUGCAUCGCUUGAAUUGUGGAGAGGUGAGUGGAAUUCCGAGUGUAGAGGUGAAAUUCGUAGAUAUUCGGAAUAACACCAGUGGCGAAGGCGACUCACUGGACACAUAUUGACGCUGAGGUGCGAAAGCGUGGGGAGCAAACAGG
rnacentral:rRNA from 1 species